rnacentral:tRNA from 1 species
GGGCGGUUAGCUCAGCCGGUAGAGCAGCACGCUUACACCGUGCCGGUCGGGGGUUCGAGCCCCUCACCGCCCA